UACGUAGGGAGCAAGCGUUGUCCGGAAUCAUUGGGCUUAAAGGGCGCGUAGGCGGGUGCUCAAGUCCGUGGUGAAAUCCUCCGGCUCAACCGGAGAACUGCCUCGGAUACUGGGUGCCUCGAGGGUGGUAGGGGUAUGCGGAACUAUCGGUGGAGCGGUGAAAUGCGUUGAUAUCGAUAGGAACUCCGGUGGCGAAGGCGGCAUACUGGACCACCUCUGACGCUGAGGCGCGAAAGCCAGGGGAGCAAACGGG
rnacentral:rRNA from 1 species